UGCAGUCGAGCGGAACGAGAAUAGCUUGCUAUUCGGCGUCGAGCGGCGGACGGGUGAGUAAUGCUUGGGAACAUGCCUUGAGGUGGGGGACAACAGUUGGAAACGACUGCUAAUACCGCAUAAUGUCUUCGGACCAAAGGAGGGGAUCUUCGGACCUUUCGCCUUUAGAGUGGCCCAAGUGAGAUUAGCUAGUUGGUGGGGUAAAGGCUCACCAAGGCGACGAUCUCUAGCUGGUUUGAGAGGAUGAUCAGCCACACUGGGACUGAGACACGGCCCAGACUCCUACGGGAGGCAGCAGUGGGGAAUAUUGCACAAUGGGGGAAACCCUGAUGCAGCCAUGCCGCGUGUGUGAAGAAGGCCCUCGGGUUGUAAAGCACUUUCAGUCGUGAGGAAAGGUUUGUAGCUAAUAUCUGCAAGCUGUGACGUUAGCGACAGAAGAAGCACCGGCUAACUCCGUGCCAGCAGCCGCGGUAAUACGGAGGGUGCGAGCGUUAAUCGGAAUUACUGGGCGUAAAGCGUGCGUAGGCGGUUUCUUAAGCGAGAUGUGAAAUCCCGGGGCUCAACCUCGGAACUGCAUUUCGAACUGGGUGACUAGAGUACUGUAGAGGGUGGUGGAAUUUCCAGUGUAGCGGUGAAAUGCGUAGAGAUUGGAAGGAACAUCAGUGGCGAAGGCGGCCACCUGGACAGAUACAGACGCUGAGGCACGAAAGCGUGGGGAGCUAACAGGAUUAGAUACCCUGGUAGUCCACGCCGUAAACGAUGUCAACUAGCUGUCUGUGUACUUGAUACGUGGGUAGCGUAGCUAACGCGCUAAGUUGACCGCCUGGGGAGUACGGCCGCAAGGUUAAAACUCAAAUGAAUUGACGGGGGCCCGCACAAGCGGUGGAGCAUGUGGUUUAAUUCGAUGCAACGCGAAGAACCUUACCACCCCUUGACAUCCAGAGAAUUUUCUAGAGAUAGAUUA
rnacentral:rRNA from 1 species